rnacentral:rRNA from 1 species
GUCCACACAGUAAACGAUGAAUACUCGCUGUUUGCGAUAUACGGCAAGCGGCCAAGCGAAAGCAUUAAGUAUUCCACCUGGGGAGUACGCCGGCAAACGGUGAAAACUCAAAAGGAAUUGACGGGGGCCCGCACAAGCGGAGGAACAUGUGGUUUAAUUCGAUGAUACGCGAGGAACCUUACCCGGGCUUAAAAUUGCAUCUGAAUAAUUUGGAAACAGAUUAGCCGUAAGGCAGAUGUGAAGGUGCUGCAUGGUUGUCGU